UCCAGAGUACCACGGGACACGUGAAACCCUGUGGGAAGCAGGAGGGACCACCCUCCAAGGCUAAAUACUACCUAGUGACCGAUAGCGUAUAGUACCGUGAGGGAAAGGUGAAAAGAACCCCGGGAGGGGAGUGAAAUAGAACCUGAAACCCUGCACUUACAAGCUGUGGAAGCACAUUUCUUGUGUGACCGCGUACUUUUUGUAGAACGGGCCAACGAGUUACGUUAAGUAGCAAGGUUAAGCACUUAAGGUGUGGAGCCGUAGCGAAAGCGAGUUUUAACUGAGCGUUCAGUUACUUGACGUAGACCCGAAACCGGGCGACCUACCCAUGAGCAGGAUGAAGCGAAAGUAAAAUUUCGUGGAGGUCCGAACCCACGAGCGUUGAAAAGCUCGGGAUGACUUGUGGGUAGCGGUGAAAUUCCAAUCGAGCCCGGAGAUAGCUGGUUCUCCCCGAAAUAGCUUUAGGGCUAGCCUCAAGGUGAGAGAUACGGAGGUAGAGCGCUGAAUGUCCUAGGGGGUAUUGCACCUACCGAAGACUAUCAAACUCCGAAUGCCGUCAUCUUAUACUUGGGAGUCAGACUGUGGGUGAUAAGAUUCAUAGUCGAAAGGGCAACAGCCCAGAUCGUCAGCUAAGGUCCCUAAAUGUAAGUUAAGUGGUAAAGGAUGUGGGAUUGCACAGACAACCAGGAUGUUGGCUUAGAAGCAGCCACUCAUUCAAAGAGUGCGUAAUAGCUCACUGGUCGAGUGAUCCUGCGCCGAAGAUUUCCGGGGCUAAAACUUACUACCGAAGCUACGGCAUCAGUAAUGAUGGGUAGGGGAGCUUCCCAUACGGGUUGAAGCAUGACCGUAAGGACAUGUGGACAGUAUGGGAGUGAGAAUGUUGGCAUGAGUAGCGAGAUGUGGGUGAGAAUCCCACAGGCCGUAAACCCAAGGUUUCCAGGGGAAGGUUCGUCCGCCCUGGGUUAGUCGGGACCUAAGCUGAGGCCGAAAGGCGUAGGUGAUGGACAACAGGUUGAUAUUCCUGUACUACCGAUAACCGUUUGAGAGAAGGGAUGACACAGUAGGAUAAGCUAAGCACACUGUUGGUUAUGUGUGCCCAAGCAUUGAGGCAGUCAAAGUAGGCAAAUCCGCUUUGAUAAUGCUGGGAUGUGAUGGGGAGCGAAAUUUAGUAGCGAAGUAGCUGAUUUCAUACUGUCAAGAAAAGUCUCUAUCGAGGUUAAAGGUACCCGUACCGCAAACCGACACAGGUGGGUGAGGAGAGUAUCCUAAGGCCAGCGAGAGAACUGUUGUUAAGGAACUCGGCAAAAUGACCCCGUAACUUAGGGAUAAGGGGUGCCACCAUCAGGUGGCCGCAGAGAAUAGGCCCAAGCGACUGUUUACCAAAAACAUAGGUUUCUGCUAAGUCGCAAGACGAUGUAUAGGAGCUGACGCCUGCCCGGUGCUGGAAGGUUAAGGGGAUCUGUUAGAGCAAUCGAAGCAGUGAACUUAAGCCCCAGUAAACGGCGGCCGUAACUAUAACGGUCCUAAGGUAGCGAAAUUCCUUGUCGGGUAAGUUCCGACCCGCACGAAAGGCGUAACGAUUUGGGCACUGUCUCAACAACAGACUCGGUGAAAUUGUAAUUCCGGUGAAGAUGCCGGAUACCUGCGACAGGACGGAAAGACCCCAUGGAGCUUUACUGUAGCUUGACAUUGGGUCUUGGUACUACAUGUACAGGAUAGGUGGGAGGCUUUGAAACCAGGACGCCAGUUUUGGCGGAGCCAUCCUUGGGAUACCACCCUUGUAGUACUGGGACUCUAACCAUAGGCCAUGAAUCUGGUCUUGGGACACUGUCAGGUGGGCAGUUUGACUGGGGCGGUCGCCUCCCAAAAGGUAACGGAGGCGCUCAAAGGUUCUCUCAGUACGGUCGGAAAUCGUACGUAGAGUGUAAAGGCAAAAGAGAGCUUGAUUGCAAGACAUACAGGUCGAGCAAGGAUGAAAAUCGGACUUAGUGAUCCGGUGGUUCUGCGUGGAAGGGCCAUCGCUCAACGGAUAAAAGCUACCCUGGGGAUAACAGGCUUAUCUCCCCCAAGAGUCCACAUCGACGGGGAGGUUUGGCACCUCGAUGUCGGCUCAUCACAUCCUGGGGCUGUAGUAGGUCCCAAGGGUUGGGCUGUUCGCCCAUUAAAGUGGUACGCGAGCUGGGUUCAGAACGUCGUGAGACAGUUCGGUCCCUAUCCGUCGCAGGCGUAGGAAAUUUGAGAAGACCUGUCCUUAGUACGAGAGGACCGGGAUGGACGUACCUCUGGUGUACCAGUUGUUCUGCCAAGGGCAUGGCUGGGUAGCUAUGUACGGAAUGGAUAAGCGCUGAAAGCAUCUAAGCGCGAAGCCAACUUCAAGAUAAGAUUUCCCACCGUAAGGGUAAGACCCCAGAAAGACUAUCUGGUUGAUAGGUCGAAGGUGUAAGUGCAGCAAUGUAUUUAGCUUAUCGAUACUAAUAGGUCGAGGACUUGACCAA
rnacentral:rRNA from 1 species